CUCCUACGGGAGGCAGCAGUAGGGAAUCUUCCGCAAUGGGCGCAAGCCUGACGGAGCAACGCCGCGUGAGUGAGGAAGGCCUUCGGGUUGUAAAACUCAGUCACCUGGGAAGAGAGGUAUGGGGAGUGGAAUGCCCCAUACGAGACGGUACCAGGGGAGGAAGCCCCGGCUAACUACGUGCCAGCAGCCGCGGUAAUACGUAGGGGGCAAGCGUUGUCCGGAAUCACUGGGCGUAAAGCGUGCGUAGGCGGUCUUUCAAGUCCGGGGUGAAAACUCAAGGCUCAACCUUGAGAAUGCCUUGGAAACUGGGGGACUUGAGUACUGGAGAGGCAAGGGGAAUUCCACGUGUAGCGGUGAAAUGCGUAGAGAUGUGGAGGAAUACCAGUGGCGAAGGCGCCUUGCUGGACAGUGACUGACGCUGAGGCACGAAAGCGUGGGGAGCAAACAGGAUUAGAUACCCUGGUAGUCCACGCCGUAAACGAUGAGUGCUAGGUGUUGGGGGUUCAUCCCCUCAGUGCCGAAGGAAACCCAAUAAGCACUCCGCCUGGGGAGUACGGUCGCAAGACUGAAACUCAAAGGAAUUGACGGGGGCCCGCACAAGCAGUGGAGCAUGUGGUUUAAUUCGAAGCAACGCGAAGAACCUUACCAGGGCUUGACAUCCCUCUGACCGGUUCAGAGAUGGACCUUCCCUUCGGGGCAGAGGAGACAGGUGGUGCAUGGUUGUCGUCAGCUCGUGUCGUGAGAUGUUGGGUUAAGUCCCGCAACGAGCGCAACCCUUGACCUGUGUUACCAGCACGUAAUGGUGGGGACUCACAGGUGACUGCCGGCGUAAGUCGGAGGAAGGUGGGGAUGACGUCAAAUCAUCAUGCCCUUUAUGUCCUGGGCUACACACGUGCUACAAUGGGCGGUACAACGGGAAGCGAGACCGCGAGGUGGAGCGAAACCCAAAAAGCCGUUCGUAGUUCGGAUUGCAGGCUGCAACCCGCCUGCAUGAAGCCGGAAUUGCUAAUAAUCGCGGAUCAGCAUGCCGCGGUGAAUCCGUUCCCGGGCCUUGUACACACCGCCCGU
rnacentral:rRNA from 1 species